rnacentral:rRNA from 1 species
AGUGAACGCUGGCGGUAGGCCUAACACAUGCAAGUCGAACGGCAGCACAGUAAGAGCUUGCUCUUACGGGUGGCGAGUGGCGGACGGGUGAGGAAUACAUCGGAAUCUACUUUUUCGUGGGGGAUAACGUAGGGAAACUUACGCUAAUACCGCAUACGACCUACGGGUGAAAGCAGGGGAUCUUCGGACCUUGCGCGAUUGAAUGAGCCGAUGUCGGAUUAGCUAGUUGGCGGGGUAAAGGCCCACCAAGGCGACGAUCCGUAGCUGGUCUGAGAGGAUGAUCAGCCACACUGGAACUGAGACACGGUCCAGACUCCUACGGGAGGCAGCAGUGGGGCAUAUUGGACAAUGGGCGCAAGCCUGAUCCAGCCAUACCGCGUGGGUGAAGAAGGCCUUCGGGUUGUAAAGCACUUUUGUUGGGAAAGAAAAGCAGCAGGUUAAUACCCCGCUGUUCUGACGGUACCCAAAGAAUAAGCACCGGCUAACUUCGUGC